UACAGAGGGUGCGAGCGUUAAUCGGAAUUACUGGGCGUAAAGCGCGCGUAGGCGGCUUUGCAAGUCGGGUGUGAAAUCCCCAGGCUUAACCUGGGAACUGCAUUCGAGACUGCAUUGCUAGAGUAUGGGAGAGGGAAGUGGAAUUUCCGGUGUAGCGGUGAAAUGCGUAGAUAUCGGAAGGAACAUCAGUGGCGAAAGCGACUUCCUGGACCAAUACUGACGCUCAGGUGCGAAAGCGUGGGGAGCAAACAGG
rnacentral:rRNA from 1 species